UGCCUAUGAUUGGGUUGGGAGACCUAUU
rnacentral:piRNA from 1 species